rnacentral:rRNA from 1 species
CAGUAGCCACGGGAAUACAGAGGGUGCGAGCGUUAAUCGGAUUUGCUGGGCGUAAAGCGUGCGUAGGCGGCUUCUUAAGUCGGAUGUGAAAUCCCUGAGCUUAACUUAGGAAUUGCAUUCGAUACUGGGAAGCUAGAGUAUGGGAGAGGAUGGUAGAAUUCCAGGUGUAGCGGUGAAAUGCGUAGAGAUCUGGAGGAAUACCGAUGGCGAAGGCAGCCAUCUGGCCUAAUACUGACGCUGAGGUACGAAAGCAUGGGGAGCAAACAGGAUUAGAUACCCGCGUAGUCCCUGUCUCUUAUAC